ACAAGCAGUGGCACGAAGAUGGAGUCACAGACCCAGGUCUUCAUAUUCCUACUCCUCUGGAUGUCUGGUGCUGAGGGGAACAUUGUGAUGACCCAGUCUCCUGAAUUCAUGUCCACAUCUGUAGGAGACAGGAUAACCCUAACCUGCAAAUCCAGUCAGAAUGUGUAUAAAAGUGUAGCUUGGUACCAACAGAAAUCAGGGCAGCCUCCGAAACUGCUAAUCUAUGGUACAUCCUAUCGGCCAACUGGGGUCCCUGAUAGCUUGACAGGCAGUGGAUCUGGGACAGAUUACACUCUCAGCAUCAGCAGUGUGCAGGCUGAAGACCUGGCAGUUUAUUACUGUCAGCAGAGUGUUAGUACUCCUCCCACAGAAUUAUCACAGUUCACUUCAGGUGUAUGGACCCGUGUGGUAACUGUCAUGUUCAGGACGGCUCUCCUCUCAUCAGGAGAGGUCCUGGUGAUAGCUACCUUGCUGCUGGGUUUCUUACUCUGA